rnacentral:rRNA from 1 species
UACGGAGGGGGCUAGCGUUGUUCGGAAUUACUGGGCGUAAAGCGCGCGUAGGCGGACCUGCAAGUCGGGGGUGAAAGCCCGAGGCUCAACCUCGGAACUGCCUUCGAUACUGCGGGUCUCGAGUCCGGGAGAGGUGAGUGGAAUUCCUAGUGUAGAGGUGAAAUUCGUAGAUAUUAGGAAGAACACCAGUGGCGAAGGCGGGUCUCUGGGCCGAUACUGACGCUGAGGAGCGAAAGCGUGGGGAGCGAACAGG